UACGUAGGGGGCAAGCGUUGUCCGGAAUCAUUGGGCGUAAAGCGCGUGUAGGCGGUUCGAUAAGUCUGCUGUGAAAGUCCAGGGCUCAACCCUGGGAUGCCGGUGGAUACUGUCGAGCUAGAGUACGGAAGAGGCGAGUGGAAUUCCCGGUGUAGCGGUGAAAUGCGCAGAUAUCGGGAGGAACACCAAUUGCGAAGGCAGCUCGCUGGGACGUCACUGACGCUGAGGAGCGAAAGCAUGGGGAGCGAACAGG
rnacentral:rRNA from 1 species